CCUACGGGUGGCAGCAGUAGGGAAUCUUCCGCAAUGGGCGAAAGCCUGACGGAGCAAUGCCGCGUGAGUGAUGAAGGUUUUCGGAUCGUAAAGCUCUGUUGCCAGGGAAGAACGUCCUUGAGAGUAACUGCUCAAGGAGUGACGGUACCUGAGAAGAAAGCCCCGGCUAACUACGUGCCAGCAGCCGCGGUAAUACGUAGGGGGCAAGCGUUGUCCGGAAUUAUUGGGCGUAAAGCGCGCGCAGGCGGUCAUUUAAGUCUGGUGUUUAAUCCCGGGGCUCAACCCCGGAUCGCACUGGAAACUGGAUGACUUGAGUGCAGAAGAGGAGAGUGGAAUUCCACGUGUAGCGGUGAAAUGCGUAGAGAUGUGGAGGAACACCAGUGGCGAAGGCGACUCUCUGGGCUGUAACUGACGCUGAGGCGCGAAAGCGUGGGGAGCAAACAGGAUUAGAUACCCUAGUAGUC
rnacentral:rRNA from 1 species